UCGUAGCCCCGAAACACGAACGCGAACACGUAACGUAAAAGCCGCCGGGGAGGGUCCUCCUCCCCGGACCCACCGGCCCCGGCCCUUCGGCCGGGUGUCGGAAAACGGCGCGGACUGUCGCCAAGGAACACCGAUCUGCCCUGUGCAUACCGCAACCUGCGGCGCUGCUGGGGCCAACGAAAC
rnacentral:misc_RNA from 1 species